rnacentral:rRNA from 1 species
GAUGAACGCUGGCGGCGCGCCUAACACAUGCAAGUCGAACGGCACCCCUCCUCGGAGGGAAGCGAGUGGCGAACGGCUGAGUAACACGUGGAGAACCUGCCCCCUCCCCCGGGAUAGCCGCCCGAAAGGACGGGUAAUACCGGAUACCCCGGGGUGCCGCAUGGCACCCCGGCUAAAGCCCCGACGGGGGGGGAUGGCUCCGCGGCCCAUCAGGUAGACGGCGGGGUGACGGCCCACCGUGCCGACAACGGGUAGCCGGGUUGAGAGACCGACCGGCCAGAUUGGGACUGAGGCACGGCCCAGACUCCUACGGGAGGCAGCAGUGGGGAAUCUUGCGCAAUGGGGGGAACCCUGACGCAGCGACGCCGCGUGCGGGACGGAGGCCUUCGGGUCGUAAACCGCUUUCAGCAGGGAAGAGUCAAGACUGUACCUGCAGAAGAAGCCCCGGCUAACUACGUG